rnacentral:rRNA from 1 species
AUUGAACGCUGGCGGAAUGCUUUACACAUGCAAGUCGAACGGCAGCACGGACUUCGGUCUGGUGGCGAGUGGCGAACGGGUGAGUAAUGUAUCGGAACGUGCCCAGUCGUGGGGGAUAACGUAGUGAAAAUUACGCUAAUACCGCAUACGAUCUAAGGAUGAAAGCGGGGGAUCGCAAGACCUCGCGCGAUUGGAGCGACCGAUAUCAGAUUAGGUAGUUGGUGGGGUAAAGGCCCACCAAGCCAACGAUCGGUAGCUGGUCUGAGAGGACGACCAGCCACCCGGGAACUGAGACGCGGUCCAGACUCCUACGGGAGGCAGCAGUGGGGAAUUUUGGACAAUGGGCGCAAGCCUGAUCCAGCCAUUCCGCGUGCAGGAUGAAGGCCCUCGGGUUGUAAACUGCUUUUGUACAGAACGAAAAGGUUUCUACUAAUACUAGGAGCUCAUGACGGUACUGUAAGAAUAAGCACCGGCUAACUACGUGCCAGCAGCCGCAGUAA